CUUUUAAACCCGUUAGAAGAGGGACCGGCUCAGGUUUAGGGGGAGAGGAUUGCGUCUCUCGAAGGGUCUAGACCCCGCACGGGUCGAGGCCGGUCGGUUCGAAGAGACGGUGGCUCCAGCAGUGAAGAGAAGGGAGGGAGACUGGGGGUAUGGUGGCGGACGAUCCCAAAGAGGAAACUACAGCGGCGGCGGCGGGCAGGCUAGAGCCCGGUGGUCUCAGGGAGGAGAUGAGACUGGCCACCUAACCCUAGGCGGAGGAGAACUGUUGAAGCAGGUCUCGAAACGGGAGGGCAACGUUUCGACGGGGAGGGGAGUUUCUAACCUUCGGUGGACUCGACGGAGAGGGUAGCGAACCCACAACGAAGUGGUUACUGAGGGGCUCUACAGGAAGGACGGCGGCUGGGACGUCGUGGAGGCUUCGGGUUGAUGGAGAGGAGGGAUGUAGCUCAUGUAGAAGCGGUGACUGUGGCGGCAAGAUGAAUAGGAAGGGAGGGGGCAGCUCCGAGGUGGAAUCGAGGUACCCAAGAGACCAAGCCUAUGUCCUGCCUCGCAGAGGUUUGGUCAGGGUUAGAUGAGUCCUUCCUCAGAACUAGAGGGUACCUACGAUAAGAGAUAACUCCAAUAAUAUACUUCUAAUGGCAGAGAUAUUCACGUACAGAGACAUUCACGUAGACCGAGACGAGGUCGAUAUAUGCAGUUAAAAAUACACUCCUGUGUACAAAUUGUACCAUUAAUUAUAGGGUCCCAUUACAAAACCCCUUGUUAAACGAUAACGUUUUUAACGACAAAUAAAAUACUAGUACAUCCCGUGUAAACUAAAUCAAGUUUUAUGUCGAGUACCCUAAGACUUUCAAGAUAGUUUGCUUGGUAGCGCGCGAUAUAUCUACACAAUGACAAACGUCUAUACUAACAGAGACAACAUCUGAAUUGUGUAAACUAAAAAAAAGUGCCUUGACAACAAACGAUAUAUUUAUGUUGUAGUGGAAGGUUAAGAGGGCCUCUUAAUAUCAAACGACAUAUUUAUGUACAGAACACAUGUAAGUUAAAUUGUAUUAAGACACCGAUAGUUAGCGUUACCACCGUUGCUAUAAGUCAAACUACAAUGACCGUUCGGUGUACAUGAGAAAAACAGAUUGUAUUCUCUUAAACAUGCCUUCUAUCGUUUUGGUAGUAUUGGACGUCCAAUGCCGAUAGGAUAAAUCCGGUCAUUCGAUAUGUGAAUAGGAUAAAGAGAUAAGUCUUAGUCUUACCGUAUCGAAGAGUCAAGUAUGUCAUAAAACGAAUUUAAUCUUUUAAAAGGAUGUUCGUUAUGUAAAUUAUAGAGUGAUACGUUUAGUCAACGUCACGUCCCCUACCAGACAAAAGGAUACGUAGACGGUUGGUGGGGACGGUAGAUAAAACGAUUAUUUAAAGAAAAAAAUUAAGAAAAAUGUUCCAACUAGUUUAGUCUACUAUUCCAUUUUCUUGAGGAGAAAAUAAAGUAUCUACCUAUAUAUUUAGGUUACAAACGAGCUGUGUAGGUAAUUUAAUAGUAUUUAUACCUUCUACAUUCUACGAUUAAGCAACUUCAAUGUGUUACUAAUUAAAAAGGACAUAACGUUGGACCACACACUCUCUUGUGUAUGGUAAGAUACAAAAUAGGGGUAGUUUAGCAUAUCCGUUUUCCGUAACAUACAAACCAAUUCAAGUACACGACACCUCUUCGUUUUAACCAACUCGGGUUGUGGUUUUAUAAUUAGAAACAUGUAAAAGAUCACUAAUCACGUUGCUUGAAAUAGUUACUUGAACUGGUUAUAAUAAAGGAGCUCUACUUAAUUAAGACCAGGUCUAGUAUAACAUAGGAACAAUCCUUAACAAUCCGGAUAAGUGAUAUUAGGACUCGGGCAAGAACUAAAGAAACACAAGUUUGAGAAAUGAAUAGUGACCUAAUGGAAGAGGCAAACAUCCUUGUACAAGAAUGCCCACCAGUACCAGACAACCAACUACCUGUGAUUGAAUAUUAAGUGCGAGAACGAGUUCCAGUAUUAGCCUCCACAUCGUUUAGUUCGUCUUGGACGUCUAUUAACCGGACUGGUUGUUGUGUACAUGUAAGACUAAAUCAAUAUGACAAUCGACAUCGUUUGAAAUCGAUAUCAAAUGAAGAACUUAGGAUCGACAUGUAACUGGUACUCACCCUACAUACACAUUAACUUGUUCUUAGACUACACAUGUAACUUAAGACCAACGUUAAAUAUUUAAA
rnacentral:rRNA from 1 species